UGCUACCGGGCGACCGGAUGCGGAUCUCGAAAGCCUGUCCCAGUUCGGACUGGAGUCUGCAACCCGACUCCACGAAGUUGGAUUCGCUAGUAAUCGCGCAUCAGCCAUGGCGCGGUGAAUACGUUCCCGGGCCUUGUACACACCGCCCGUCAAGCCAUGGGAGCCGGGGGCGCCUGAAGUCCGGGACCGCGAAGACCGGCCUAGGGCGAAACUGGUAACUGGGGCUAAGUCGUAACAAGGUAUC
rnacentral:rRNA from 1 species